AAAUGACAAUAAACAAUUUUCAAACUUACUGAAAACAAUGUUUAACCUUGUCAUUCGAAUAUUUUGCACUCGCAUAGUGCUGUAAGUGCUUAAAAACGAGGAUGAGCAACAUUUCUUUGCCAACGAUGUCAGUCAACUGCACAAUCUAAGGAACAGAUUGAGAUGGAAACAGGGAAUUAACAUAUAUGGCAGAUGUCACCAGUGCAAUACUGUUACAGAAAUUACUGGUGAUAUCAUCCUCAGUUUCAUCUCUCUUUGUGGUAAUUAUCAUGUGCUAACAUCUUCAAAGCCUGAAAUAGCAUUGUGAAAUCAACUGUCCAGUUCUUAACACAUGCUUACAAAACAGAUUGACUUCACCAGUCUAAUAUACUUGUAGGAGAACAUCAAGAUGUCAAUGACACCGUGAAAGUGAAAGAAAUGAGACUGUGUAAUAAAUUUGUUCCAAGUUCCUGAUUUUUAAAACUUUUAUCAUGACAUUAGGAGUUCUUACAACCAGAAAGAGAUGUAUUUUCAAGUAUCUGCCACUUUCAGCUUGGUUUUAACAAAGUAUAUUACAUUGAACAUGUAGUAACCAUAGAUAUAAAUAUCUCACUAAUUCAAAAAUCAAUUUUGACUUCGUACUGCACAUGCACCAGACCAUGCUACAAACACAAGACUUAGAUUAUUGAAAAAAAUUGUAUUUAUGUAAUACUUUUAUCUCUAUUUCUUUAUGUAAGUAGUCACCUGGCUUCGCAACAUAAAUUAUUGUUACUUACAUCCACUUGACAUUCUGAUUUUGUUUCCAUUUUAAGAAAGGCAGUGUGUUAUGUUUUGGAUAAGAUUUGUCAAUCCUUGUUUUUGAAUUCCUUAAGUUUAAAUUUCAUUGUCAGUAAGUAUACUUGUAUGAUUGUUUUUUGAUUUCACAUUUUAAAGUGUUUUUAAUUUGACAAAAGUAUUUAACUUUUAGCCACUUAGAUGUAAACAUUUCUUCGUUAACUUGUGCACUUUUUUAAGCAGUAGCUGUUAAAACAGUCAGUUACAACAGAUAUGGAAUAUGUCAUACUUCUUAAUAUAGGAAUAGAUGCUUACUGCAACCAUGUAAAUCUUCAGUAGUGGACAUAUAAUCUCAUUAGAAUACAGUGAAACCAGUAUUAUAGAUAAACAACAUUUUAAUUCUGCACUUGUACUUUAAACAGAAUAUCAAACAUGUAUAAAACACACUUUAAUGUUGACUUAUUGUGCCUUUCAGUAAGUUAUGCAACUAAGAUUAAAAAAAAGAUAUCGGAAGACCAUUACUAAAUCAGGCUACCUUAAAAACAGAGAAUUCACUGUGGAAAUAUAUACAUUUAAAGAAUGUCUUGUAUGUUUAUGCGAGUAUAAACCACUUUGAAACUUCUGACCAAACCAUGAUUGGUAUUAGCAGUUGAUCGUGAUUUGCCAUAAGUGCCAAUAUGGUUUAUACCCUUAUGAACUACCAAGAACAUUGAAGUCAUUCAUUACAUGUACAAUAUUACAGAGGUACCUACAAUUAGUAUUCUUACACAACCUGUCUCGUAUACUUAUUCCGGAAACAAAGACAGAUGAAAACUGUGUGUUACUAUACAACGAUUCAUUUUUUUUUUUGACAUCAUAUUAAGUGUAAUCGUCAAACAACAUAACUGCCCACUGGAAAAGAAACCAAAAGAAAACAGGCAAAUAUUUAAUAAAUGUUGUUAAGGCUGUACUUUAACAGGUAACAUGUUCAUAUUCUUAAGAAAUGAAAUAUCUCAUCCAGUGAUUUGUCAUUGAAUAAAAUCAUUGUUUGGAGUUCAGAUGCGAAGGAAUUUGAUCAGGAGUGCACAGCUAGAGUGAUAAUACACAUCUGAACAACAAACAUGGUCUGUCCUGGCCAACAGUUGUCUGUAGCCAAAUGAAGAAAAAGUUGUUAAAAUCCUACAAAAUAUGUAUAAAACUGCAAAAUGGACCAUCAAUUUGGUAUCAAAAGUUGAUUCUAUAAUAUUAGUAAUUGGCUACUAUGGCUAAUGGCAUUGAAGGCCCUAGACAAUGAUUUUAUUCAAGAGCAAAUCACUAAAUGAGAUAUAUUAUUUUGUUUAACACGUUACCAAGUAUAUCCUUGAAGGUGUCUUAUCAAAUAGUUGCCUGUUUUGCCUGGUUGGUUUCUUUUCUAAGCACUGCUAUGCCAUUUGACACUAUGACGUAAUAAUUGUGACGUCAGAACAGAACAGUGAAUUGUUGUAAAAUAACACACAUCUUCAGCCUUUGUUUAAUAGCAAAACAAUCGGUUCGGUUUAGAAUACUGAGUAAAUUCAGUGCUUGGAGUUCAGAUUUGUAUUAUUAUAUGAAUUCUGCAAAUCCAAACUCCAAACAAAGAUUUUAUUCUGCGACAUAUCACAAAAUGACAGGAGAUUAUAAGAUUCAUCCACUGGUUGUAGGUGUGAUGGGAAUUUCCGGACUCGAGGGUAACUGUUUAAGUGGUAACAAGGCUCAAAGCCGAGUAAACGCCUAAACAGUUACCAGACCAGAGAGCCAGAAAAUCCGAUCUGCACCUAUAACCAGUGACAGAAUCUUUUUCUUGCAUACCGAUUUAAAGACAUAAUAAUAAAAAUAAAAUUAAUAUAUUAUAAAUUACUACAUAAUUCUUCUACAUUAUAUGUAGUUUGUAAUACGUCAUUUACAGCACGAGAGUCAUCUUACACCCCAGACUCUUACACCCCGGGGUGUAAGAUGGAUUUUCCAGCACCGGUAAUAUUACUGAAAAUCCCCGUCUGGUAUGCAAGAAAUGUUUAAGAUAUGAAAUGAUUUUUUUUUUUGUAGUUCAUGCAAAAUGAAUGACAGAAUAGGAUUGGCAAAUCCAUGAAUUGCGCUAGUGAUUCCUUUUUUAUUUGCUGAUCCUAUUCUGUCAAUCAGUUUGCAUGAACACCAAAAAUAAUAGCUUCAUUUCUUAUAUUUACAUUAUAUUUCCUUGACAUUUGUAAACUAUAUAAUAGUCUGCUUGUAGGCAGGGAAAACAUUUCUUAGAUGACGUCGCAGUUAUUCUGUGUGAUGAACAUAAGGCCGGGAAGCUGAUUUUAAUGAUAAAUGCUACAAAUUAUGUGCAGUUUGUUAUAUAAUCUCGUUUAGAAAUAGAAAGGAAUCAUAUGUCUCAGAAAGAGCGGGGGAUACUAUGUGACCACCCUUGGGGCUAGCGUUCUGAAGCCAUGUUCGCUCUCAAAAUACGUCAGACAGUUUUCAUUUGGUCAUACCAAACUUGCUGACAAUGUUUGUUGGCAUAAUAUCUCAGCCAAGUUCGAUAACCAGCCAAAUCACCCCAGGCACUCUUGAAUUAAGGCCUUUGAAUUACUUGAGAGAAAAAAAAAGUGAAUUAAGCCUUGAUCUGAUCAACACCAAACGUGAUGACAAUUUUUGUGGUCAUAAUAUCUUGGUCAAUUUGAUAAACACCCAGAUCGCCUCAAGUACUGUUGGAUUAUGGCCCUUGAAUUAGGCCAAGUUCGAUGACAGGCGUAUUUUGUGACAGUCUUGCACUCUUGUUUUUUAAGAUACAGCCUUGAAAUUAGGAUGAUAUGUACAGUUUGCACACCUUACUUAAAACUGACUUUCAGAGACCACAAAUAUGACCUACUGAGCUACUUUCUUAACAUUAAAAUCAGCUUACCAGCCAUUCUGUUCAACACAUGGAAUAACUGCAUUGUCAUCUAAGGAACAUUCUCACUGACUAUAUGCGGACAUCGUCAAAACAGCAGUCGGUUAUCACUAAGCAGCGAUGAUGUAAAAUCGCGCCUCUCCUUUAGAUGUUCGUACAAAAUGAAUGUCAUAAUUUUUAUUCUAAUAUGCCUGUCUCUGUUAAAACACUCUAAUGCUGGAAUGAUGUCGCGUUAACGUGCGGUGACGUCAAAGAUUUCAUUGAGACCAGGAAAGAGCGCUUCUGAAUUUUAUCUACUUUUUUCGAUUAAGUGCAUAUUAGAAUCAAAAUAAAUUAUAGCAAAAGAGUGAUUUAACACUAAUUAUGCUCUUUGGCAGUAAUAAGUCGUACAAAUAAUUUUACUUGUGCUGCCCUGUUGUGGUAUUAUUAUGCCCAAGGAAUAUAAUCGUGCAUAAAUAGUGAUAAAACACUCUUUUGUUAUAAUUUAUUUCUUAAAUGGAAAAGAAUAGGGCAAAUGUAAAUAUCACUACUUCUUUAACUGAAGCCAAGCAUAUUUACUGCCAAAAUAUUUUUACUAACAUUUAAAAAUUAACCCUUAGCCUGCUAAAUUUCUAAGAUGGACUGGUCAGUCAUUCAAAUUGGGCCAUACUACUUAUUAGUCAAAGGGGUGUUAAAUGAAAAUUUACUGACUGGAUAUAGAACAGUGCAGAUCAUGAUCAAACUGUAUAGAUGUGCAGGCUUGGUCUGCACUGGUCGCAAAGGCAAAAUCACUUGGCACCAGCAGGCUAAAGGUUAAAACAUUCAAAUUUGAAUGCCUUCUUGUGAUUUAUUGUCUUAUUUAUCACAGUUCAUUGUUCAAAUGCUUAGAUAUUAAACUACUCAGGCUAAAGCCAUUUUGGUUCAUUUCGUUCGCAUAUGAACUCUGAAACGUGAUAAAUUACAUCACUUGUGUAAAGAUACUUGAUGUAGAUGAACAAAUAGUGCAAUGAAUUGGCAAUAUUUUCAUGUUUUCAGUUUUAAGAUAUUACAUACAUGACAUGUUGCAUUAUUUACUGAAUGAUCUGCAUUUAAUAUGUUGAAAAUUGUAAUAGUAUUACAUUCACUACAAUGUAAUGAUUAUAUAACUCAUACAUUUGGAUUUUAAGGAUUUUUUUUCCAGUUUUGAUCACUCUACCUCUUCUGAUGCUUUGACACAUUAAUAUUGUCUUUCUGUACCAUUCUCUUUUUACCUCAGGAAAUUAUUAUACUGGUCAUUUCAAGGAAAAUAUAUAAAUGUUGUUUUGCAUGCAGAUCAAAGACAUCCUUGUCAUCCAUUUGAAGACAUAUACAUAUAGCAUGAAAACUAUUCAAGUUAUCUACCUUUACAAAUAAAUUUAUAUUUUUAGCACCAUUUUAACUUUAGUGAUAACAUAGUUUAAUUGUAACAGCAUUUGAGAUUGAGCUUUGUUAAUAUGCAUUAACAAUUGAUAAUACAUUCCUACAUCUUAGUAAUUAGUUAGGUACAUCUGUUGUAAAUUGACAGCAGUUAAUGAAACUGUUAACAUGUAAAACUGGACAAUUUCAUAUUGUCAAGUUUUGUGAGCUUCACUGGUUAUUCCUGUAAAACCAUUUGUUAGGGUAGUCAGUACAUAAUUUAAAGUUGAAUAGCAACACUGACACCUUUAAUCUUAUCAAAAUAAUUAUCUGUUGUUAAUGAUAUAUAAAACCAUAUUUUAAGCUGUUACUUGAACAAUAUGUAGUAAAAUGAUUUGUAACGCUAUACAACUUAGUUAGUGAUUACUUAUAAUUUAGUGCCUAAGUGUAUUUAGUUUAUAGUAGAUUUGUAACCCAUUCAAAUACUUGUCAAUACUAUUUAUAUGAUGGUUUGAAGUAUUUGAUUUCUAGCUACAUUAACUGAAGUUAGUGAAAAUAUUUGUCCUUUAAGGUUUUGUUUUAAAGUAUGAUGAUUUAAAGCAGUCACUGUUACAAUUCACAUGUAACUCAUAUUACAUUAUCACAACACUUCCACUUCCAUUACAGAUUUAACUUUAAGUGUUAAAAGUAAUUCAUUUAUUAAACUGUGCUAAAGCAGUGAAUUGAAAAAAUAUAUUUAAAUCUUAAUACUUGAAACAAUGAAGACUCCUAAAGGAUUUGAAAGCAAAGGUUUCUUUAGUACACUAUCUCGAGUAACAACAAAAAUUUGUCUCUUCCUCACAAACAUUUGAAUACUCUGAUUCUUUCCAUAAAUACACAUCAACAAAAAUAUCAUUUUGACAAUAUUUACAAUACUUUACAAUAUUUUCUUUCCUUCAAGACAUUUUCUUCAUUGAUUAUCACAGUUUACAGUUGAGUCGUGUCCCAUUAGUACCAUUUGCAGCUACUUCUAAAUGGGUUAUAUGGAAUGCCUACACUAUUUCUACAUGAUGAUUAUUAUUCUGUCUUGUGCAUUUUCUCAUAUAUCAGGUUGAAUUUAUGAUUUGUCUUGUAGAUGAAAAAAGUUUUUAAUGUAGAACUGAUUUAUAGCAAAAUAGUGCUUUAACAUUAUAUGCACGAUAGGUGGUUACACGCCGGGCGUAAUAAUUCCAUGAGGGCGAUGCCGGAGUGAAAUUAUUUGUACGUUGUAUUACUGCCAGAGUGUAUAAGUAGUGUUAAAACAGGGUUUUAUUUAAGAAAUAAUAAGUUCCAAAGUUUGGUUUAUCGUAGAAUAACCCGUGUUUUGAGUUCUUAUGCAUAAGAAUAUAUCUGAGUGAUAUUUUGUUUCGCAUUAGAAUGAAAAACUAGGGUUAUUCUACAAUAAAUCAGACUUGGGAACUUUUUAUUUCGAUUCUAACACGACAUACUAGUAUCAACAGUAUUAGAAAUAUGGUAAAUACUUUUUAUGACCAUGCUAUGCACCUGGAUCGGAUGACGUCAUUGCACGCAUUUGGUUUAUUGCAGAAUAACCCGAGAUAGAUUUUGCUCAACAUGUAUGUAGGUUAUUCACUGGUUGUGUUAGAAAGUAUUUCAGUUCUAAUAUGUCUUUUAUCUAAAACUGUAGAUAAAAUAUAGUAGUGCUGUUUUUUUUUGGUUGCAACAAAUAGUUUGGCAUUACCGCACAUGAAACUGACGUCAUUCUAGCGUAAGCAAGUUUUAACAGAGUCAGACAUAUUAGAAUGUAAUUUACAAGUUUGUCCAUGAUAUUUCCAAGUUUGUGUUGUGCAUUCUUAAGGUUUCCGGUAGUAUAGUCAGAUAUUUUUCAAAAUUUGCUUUUAUUUUGUAAAGUCUGUAGUUUUUGCCCUUCAACGAGAUACUUAUCUUAUUAUUCCAAUCUUGGAAAGACUGGUCCAAUAGUAUUCUUUUAAUUGUAGUAUGUAAAUUACGUAAAUCUAGUAAACUUUGAUUAAUCCAAAUAAAAGUGUUUCCUGUAGAAUCUAAAAUAUUCUUGACACAGUCUAGCCAUUUAUUACUUGAAGUUGAAUUAAGCAUGUUUUCAUAGCAGAUUCUAUUCAAUUUUGAACUGCUGCUACUCAAUACUUUGGCCCAAUAUCUAACGACUCUAACUUUGAUUACAAUAUCUAAUGGGUAAUAAAAAAUGAACACAACAAACUAAUGAUUGUGCAGCACAAACUAGUGAAUAUACAGGACCAGCUGGUAAAUGUACAUAACAAACUGCUUUAUCUACAAGAAA